UCCUUUGAUGCUGCCUUUCACUGGCCCUGGUGAGCAACCCUCAGCUGCGUUCAUGGCUCUUUGACACAGCAGUUCACCCGGAAAGAACGCAGUGUUCUUCCAAGUGGCACUCACCCUGAGCCUGACCACCGGAAAAGUCACUGUUUCUCUGAAUAUUUAAUCACAUAGAAGAGCUUUUCCAAGCCUCAGUAAGGUUGUUGAAAAAACAUAGAUCUGCUUAUAAAUAAGCACAGGUAAUGAUGGGAUGUGUGCAGGGAGGAGUCAGAGGGAGCAGGGCCUUCAGCGGAAUGAAUGAUGGCAACUUUGGGACUAUAUUAUUGCUGCAGGGCUACAAUUUCCAGAGAGAAGUUGAACUGGAAAGAGAGGAUAACAAAAGGUAGGCCAGGAGAAGAUGAUAAAUAAGCCACCAAAAUUGCACACAAAAUAUUGACCCCAAGGAAUAAAUACUUACCAGUGGAUGUCCUGUGACAGAAGAAGGCCUUGAUUUUUGCAUUUUGGAACCAGAAAGCCACUGAUCCAUGUAGUCUUGACAUCGUCUAUGAGUGUAAGAAGUGAAACCUCACACUCAAGAGCAGUGGUUUUGUGAGCCUAACAGCAGCAGUAAAAAGGAAGAAUGAGGCUUUGAGUCUGGAUGCCUACUCUGCGUAUUUGAAACUUGUUUAUUCUCUAUUACCUAUGCCCCUUGAUAUUAUGUUGCUUUUAGGGUAUUGGCAAGGAGAAUGGACAGGAUGCUGCAUAUCAAUGAAUUUCUGGGACUAGAAAAGAACUUUUAUCAAGUAUUGAUUUAAUUCAUCUAGGGAAGGAUAGGGCUAAGAGCCCAGAUAUUCAAAAAAUAUAUAUAAAUAUAUAGUAUAAGUAUAUACCUUGAAUUACAUAUAGUAGAGCACUUACCUUUGGAAGGUGAAGUCUUACAUUGUGGAUGAAGUAUUCAGCAUAAUGCGGAGAACAAGAUCACUGACCCAUGGGGAGCUCCAAACAAACCUGAUGGGAGGAACGAGAAUCAUCCGGAAAUACUCAACUUUGAACCAGAUUCAAGGACUGGAUGGGCAUUUGGGUUAUCUCCUUGCACAGGGGAAAGAUAAAAUUAAUAUUUCAUGAUGAGAAAGGUAACUGUCUCUGAAGUGUAAACCCUCUGAGGAAUUCAUACACUGGAUUCAGUCAAACUCUCAUCUAUAUGCACCGAAGGCAUUUUCUCCUGAGGUUAAGGGUCAAACCUGGGCUUAUUAUUACUGAGAUGUGUUCUUAGAAAAGCCAGGUCUUCGAUUAUAGCUUAUGAUCUCUAUAGUGUUCCACUUAGAUGUUAGAGCAUGAAGAUUUCUCUAAUGUUCUUGAGAAUUCAGCUAAGCAAAUAAACUU